UUGAAUACUCAGCCUGUAUACCUCCGUCGCAAGCUUACCCUAUGAAUGCACUUAGUGAGCCCAAUGAUUUAACACCCACACGUCAGGUCAAGGUGCAGCCCACAAGAUGGAAAGAAAUGGGCUACAAUUUUUACCCUAGAACAAACGAAAGACUACAUGAAACACAGCCACUGAAGGCGGAUUUAGUAGUAAAAAGAAAAUAGAGAGUUUUUUUUAAUCAGGCACUGGAAAGGGUACACACCGCCCGUCACCCUUUUCAAACACAAAUAUUAUGUUAUUGACACCACACACAAAACAGAAGAGGUAAGUUGUAACACGGUAAGCGUACUGGAAAGUGCGCUUGGAAUAACAAAAUGUAACUUAAUAAAAGUAUUUUGCUUACACCAAGAACAUGUUUGUGAAACCCCGACCAUUUUGAGCUUAAAGCCCAGCCCCACUAAACUUAAUGAAACCAGCCCCCCCACCCCAAGAAUUAAAACAUUUUUUCACUUAGUAAAGGCGAUUAAAAAGUACCUAGGAGCCCCAAUAUGAGUACCGCAAGGG
rnacentral:rRNA from 1 species